UACGUAGGGACCGAGCGUUGUCCGGAUUCAUUGGGCGUAAAGAGCUCGUAGGCGGCUGCUCAAGUCGAAUGUGAAGACUCGAGGCUCAACCUCGAGCCUGCAUUCGAUACUGGGCGGCUAGAGUCUGGUAGGGGGAUCUGGAAUUCCUGGUGUAGCGGUGGAAUGCGCAGAUAUCAGGAGGAACACCGGUGGCGAAGGCGGGAUCCUGGGCCAGUACUGACGCUGAGGAGCGAAAGCGUGGGGAGCAAACAGG
rnacentral:rRNA from 1 species